rnacentral:rRNA from 1 species
ACUCCUACGGGAGGCAGCAGUGGGGAAUAUUGCACAAUGGGCGCAAGCCUGAUGCAGCAACGCCGCGUGAGCGAUGAAGGCCUUCGGGUCGUAAAGCUCUGUCCUCAAGGAAGAAUAAAUGACGGUACUUGAGGAGGAAGCCCGGCUAACUACGUGCCAGCAGCCGCGGUAAUACGUAGGGGCAAGCGUUAUCCGGAAUCACUGGGCGUAAAGGGUGCGUAGGCGGUUUUCAAGUUCAGAAGUGAAAGGCUAUGGCUCAACCAUAGUAAGCUUUUGAAACUGUUAAACUUGAGUGCAGGAGAGGAAAGUGGAAUUCCUAGUGUAGAGGUGAAAUUCGUAGAUAUUAGGAGGAACACCAGUGGCGAAGGCGACUUUCUGGACUGUAACUGACGCUGAGGCACGAAAGCGUGGGAGCGAACAGGAUUAGAUACCCUGGUAGCACAGAG